GUCUAGUAGAGCUGUGUUGUGAUGGGCCAGGUCUAGUAGAGCUGUGUUGUGAUGGGACGGGUCUAGUUGUGCUGUCCUGAGGCGGGUCUGGUCUGGUAAAUAUGUGCUGUGUUGGGCCUGGUCUAGUAGAGCUGUGUUGUGAUGGGACGGGUCUAGUUGUGCUGUCCUGAGGCGGGUCUGGUCUGGUAAAUAUGUGCUGUGUUGGGCCUGGUCUAGUAGAGCUGUGUUGUGAUGGGACGGGUCUAGUUGUGCUGUCCUGAGGCGGGUCUGGUCUGGUAAAUAUGUGCUGUGUUGGGCCUGGUCUAGUAGAGCUGUGUUGUGAUGGGCCAGGUCUAGUAGAGCUGUGUUGUGAUGGGACGGGUCUAGUUGUGCUGUCCUGAGGCGGGUCUGGUCUGGUAAAUAUGUACUGUGUUGGGCCUGGUCUAGUAGAGCUGUGUUGUGAUGGGCCAGGUCUAGUAGAGCUGUGUUGUGAUGGGCCAGGUCUAGUAGAGCUGUGUUGUGAUGGGACGGGUCUAGUUGUGCUGUCCUGAGGCGGGUCUGGUCUGGUAAAU